rnacentral:rRNA from 1 species
UACGUAGGGUGCAAGCGUUGUUCGGAAUCAUUGGGCGUAAAGCGCGUGUAGGUGGUUUAUCAAGUCAGAUGUGAAAGCCCUCGGCUCAACCGGGGAAGUGCAUUUGAAACUGAUAGGCUAGAGAAUGGUAGAGGAAGGUGGAAUUCCUAGUGUAGAGGUGAAAUUCGUAGAUAUUAGGAGGAAUACCUGUGGCGAAGGCGGCCUUCUGGGCCGUUUCUGACACUGAGACGCGAAAGCGUGGGUAGCAAACAGG